UGGGGAAUAUUGGACAAUGGGGGAAACCCUGAUCCAGCCAUGCCGCGUGAGUGAUGAAGGCCCUAGGGUUGUAAAGCUCUUUUGUGCGGGAAGAUAAUGACGGUACCGCAAGAAUAAGCCCCGGCUAACUUCGUGCCAGCAGCCGCGGUAAUACGAAGGGGGCUAGCGUUGCUCGGAAUCACUGGGCGUAAAGGGUGCGUAGGCGGAUCUUUAAGUCAGGGGUGAAAUCCCGGGGCUCAACCCCGGAACUGCCUUUGAUACUGGAGAUCUUGAGUUCGGGAGAGGUGAGUGGAACUGCGAGUGUAGAGGUGAAAUUCGUAGAUAUUCGCAAGAACACCAGUGGCGAAGGCGGCUCACUGGCCCGAUACUGACGCUGAGGCACGAAAGCGUGGGGAGCAAACA
rnacentral:rRNA from 1 species